rnacentral:rRNA from 1 species
AGUGAACGCUGGCGGUAGGCCUAACACAUGCAAGUCGAACGGCAGCACAGUAAGAGCUUGCUCUUACGGGUGGCGAGUGGCGGACGGGUGAGGAAUACAUCGGAAUCUACUUUUUCGUGGGGGAUAACGUAGGGAAACUUACGCUAAUACCGCAUACGACCUACGGGUGAAAGCAGGGGAUCUUCGGACCUUGCGCGAUUGAAUGAGCCGAUGUCGGAUUAGCUAGUUGGCGGGGUAAAGGCCCACCAAGGCGACGAUCCGUAGCUGGUCUGAGAGGAUGAUCAGCCACACUGGAACUGAGACACGGUCCAGACUCCUACGGGAGGCAGCAGUGGGGAAUAUUGGACAAUGGGCGCAAGCCUGAUCCAGCCAUACCGCGUGGGUGAAGAAGGCCUUCGGGUUGUAAAGCCCUUUUGUUGGGAAAGAAAAGCAGCAGGUUAAUACCCCGCUGUUCUGACGGUACCCAAAGAAUAAGCACCGGCUAACUU